rnacentral:rRNA from 1 species
UUUCCAGACUCCUACGGGAGGCAGCAGUGGGGAAUCUUCCGCAAUGGGCGAAAGCCUGACGGAGCAACGCCGCGUGAUCGAAUGAAGGCCUUCGGGUUGUAAAGAUCUGUUGACAGGGACGAAUAAGCAAUGCGAAUAGUUUUGUGUAUGACGGUACCUGUUUAGAAAGCUCCGGCUAACUACGUGCCAGCAGCCGCGGUAAUACGUAGGUGGCGAGCGUUGUCCGGAUUUACUGGGCGUAAAGGGAGCGUAGGCGGGCUUUUAAGUGAGAUGUGAAAUACUCGGGCUCAACUUGAGUGCUGCAUUUCAAACUGGAAGUCUAGAGUGCAGGAGAGGAGAAUGGAAUUCCUAGUGUAGCGGUGAAAUGCGUAGAGAUUAGGAAGAACACCAGUGGCGAAGGCGAUUCUCUGGACUGUAACUGACGCUGAGGCUCGAAAGCGUGGGGAGCAAACAGGAUUAGAUACCCCCGUA